rnacentral:ribozyme from 1 species
AGUCACAAGUUUGAGGCCAUAGCAGAAGUAUUCAAAGUGCAGCCCUGUCAGAUUCUGACACACCUGCCAAUUCUGCU